rnacentral:rRNA from 1 species
UACGGGGGGAGCAAGCGUUGCUCGGAUUUACUGGGCGUAAAGGGCGCGUAGGCGGUCGUGACAAGUCACUUGUGAAAUCUCCGGGCUUAACUCGGAACGGUUAAGUGAUACUGUCGGACUAGAGUACAGAAGGGGCAACUGGAAUUCUCGGUGUAGCGGUGAAAUGCGUAGAUAUCGAGAGGAACACCUGCGGCGAAGGCGGGUUGCUGGGCUGAUACUGACGCUGAGGCGCGAAAGCCAGGGGAGCGAACGGG